AUUCCAAACCUUAUCCAGCAGGCAGACUUUUCUUUUCAGUAAAGUACUAGUUCAGAUUUGGUUAUGGUUCAAUAGCCCUGUUGGACUUUCUGGAAGAAACAGCAUGAACAAGGAAAAUUCAUUUCAAAUUUUCAAUUGUAAUUGAAUUACAGAAUGUUAUAAUCUUAUAUUCUGUGAUAGGUAUUGCUUAGAGACCCACUGGCCGAUAACGUAAUCCCCAUCGUUGAGGAACUUCAAAGACGGUUGCCUCUUGUAAUGUCGCAAGCGAAGAUCAAGGUGAAGAAGAGAAGCAUCCUGGGAUGCGAAAAGAUGUAUACAGGCGAAGAAAAUGGUUUUGAUGCUGCUGUGUAAUUUACAUCUAUCUUGCCGUUAUAGAUCAUCGACUAACUGGAAAGGCUUCAAUGCUUCUGUCAAAUUGCAAUUAUGCAGAUUAGCAGUCCUAAUCUGGAUCGGGUGCGUAAGCUGAAGAGCUCCAUGACAAGGUUGACAAAUCGGGCUCAAAAGAUGAACAUAACAACAAGGGGAAAGCGGACCCUUUUGGCAAUUAUUAGAGUCUGAUGACGUAGAUCACGAUCCAAAAUCAUCCUAAGAUGGAGAAGCCGCUGGGGGACGUUGGGACAUUCGAAGAGAAAAAAAUUAAUGGAAAAAUUGAAACACACUCUCACACAAAAUGAGAGAGAAGAAACAAAUCAAAUUGUUAGCUCCAGAACAUUAACUGAAAGUUACACGAUUAUCACCAUAAAACACAGGUCUUGAUCAACUAGUACUUCUCAUCCAUAUUCAUAUUUACCCCCAUUUUUGAAUUUUCAUCCUCAAGACUUACAAUAGUGAAGCAUUCUGGGUCUCCAGGUAAGGGAUGAACUUGAACAACUUCUGGAUGAUGAUAAUGAUGUGGUAGACCUUUACUUAUCAAGAAAAUUAGUUGGCUCAUCUUCUCCUGUCUGUGGAUCUGGUGCUCCCAUUUGGUUUCUUAAUUCUCCUACGGUAGGUCCGAAGGCAUCCAGAACAAGAAGGGCCAGUGCAACUACAAUGCAAGGGGAGAAUGAUGUUGAAGACCUUGAAAUGCUGCUUGAGGCUCAGUACUGUUAUUAUCUUGUGUAAUUCACAUAAAUUCUAAGUUUGAUAUGGAUUUAAUUGCAGGCUUACUUCUUACAGAUUGAUGGCACAUUGAACAAAUUGAUUAAGGUAAGCUACUCUGCCUCUUUUGCAGAUUACUUUUUGUUACUGUCAGGUCUAUUUCAUAUAAAAUAAUGGAACUAAAUUACUUGAGAUUUGCUUAACUUGCUUUUUCUGAAGGCUAAUCUAGAAUGUUACUGCUUAAGCAUGAUUGCUCUGAUGCAUGAGUUACUCCUUUCAUCUUCCCAGCUGCGUGAAUACUUGACGGCGCACAGGACUACAUCAAUAUCCAGCUUGAUAAUCAUCGGAAUCAACUCAUUCCAGUGUGAGCACUGAAUCUAAUAUACAUAUUUGAUUUCUAAUAACAACAUAGUGAGAUGAGGCUUUAGGUGUGAUUGAAUUGAUAAAGUGUGUCCCAGUGGAUUUGACAUUAACAAGUAAUGUGGCCUACUGGCUUCUGGGACCGAUUCAAUUAGCUUCCAUGGGUUAGAAGCACACCUGAGAAAAGGAGCACGCGGCCAUUGAUUGCGAGCAUCUCAUCUGAUCAUAUCUGAAGCUUUUUUUUUUCAACAAAUUGGAUGAUUUUCUUGUUCCCCAUUCUCCCUGUAUGGCAAUUCAUUUUGGUCCCAAAUGAUUGUUUUGGUGGGUUCGUGCAAAUAAUUAAUUUGGAUAAGUAUAGAGCACUUAUCAAUCAUGAAAAACUUAUUAUCUUCUUUUUUUU